CAGCAGCCACGGUAAUACAGAGGGUGCGAGCGUUAAUCGGAUUUACUGGGCGUAAAGCGUGCGUAGGCGGCUUCUUAAGUCGGAUGUGAAAUCCCUGAGCUUAACUUAGGAAUUGCAUUCGAUACUGGGAAGCUAGAGUAUGGGAGAGGAUGGUAGAAUUCCAGGUGUAGCGGUGAAAUGCGUAGAGAUCUGGAGGAAUACUGAUGGCGAAGGCAGCCAUCUGGCCUAAUACUGACGCUGAGGUACGAAAGCAUGGGGAGCAAACAGGAUUAGAUACCCCGGUAGUCCCUGUCUCUUAUAC
rnacentral:rRNA from 1 species